rnacentral:rRNA from 1 species
UGGCGGACGGGUGAGUAACGCGUAAAGAACUUGCCCUUUAGACUGGGAUAACAGAGGGAAACUUCUGAUAAUACUGGAUAAGUUAGUAUAUCGCAUGAUAUGCAAAUGAAAGCUACGGCACUAAAGGAGAGCUUUGCGUCCUAUUAGCUAGUUGGUAAGGUAAGAGCUUACCAAGGCGAUGAUAGGUAGCCGGCCUGAGAGGGUGGACGGCCACAAGGGGACUGAGAUACGGCCCUUACUCCUACGGGAGGCAGCAGGG